rnacentral:rRNA from 1 species
CCUACGGGUGGCAGCAGUGGGGGAUAUUGCACAAUGGGGGGAACCCUGAUGCAGCGACGCCGCGUGGGUGAAGAAGCGCCUCGGCGCGUAAAGCCCUGUCAGCAGGGAAGAAAAUGACGGUACCUGAAGAAGAAGCCCCGGCUAACUACGUGCCAGCAGCCGCGGUAAUACGUAGGGGGCAAGCGUUAUCCGGAUUUAUUGGGUUUAAAGGGUGCGUAGGCGGCGCUUCAGGUCAGCGGUGAAAUACCGGGGCUCAACCCCGGGGCUGCCGUUGAAACCGGAGCGCUAGAAUUCCGAUGCCGUCGGAGGAAUGUGUGGUGUAGCGGUGAAAUGCAUAGAUAGCACACAGAACACCGAUUGCGAAGGCAUCGGACGAAUCGGAGAUUGACGCUGAUGCACGAAAGCGUGGGUAUCGAACAGGAUUAGAUACCCGAGUAGUC